rnacentral:rRNA from 1 species
AUACGUAGGGGGCGAGCGUUGUCCGGAAUUAUUGGGCGUAAAGGGUUCGUAGGCGGUUAUUUAAGUCAGGUGUGAAAGGCAUGGGCUUAACCUGUGUAAGCACUUGAAACUGGAUAACUUGAGUUAAGGAGAGGAAAGUGGAAUUCCUAGUGUAGCGGUGAAAUGCGUAGAUAUUAGGAGGAAUACCAGUGGCGAAGGCGACUUUCUGGACUUAUACUGACGCUGAGGAACGAAAGCGUGGGGAGCAAACAGGAUUAGAUACCCUGGUAGUCCACGCCGUAAACGAUGAGUGCUAGGUGUUGGAGGGAAACCUUCGGUGCCGCAGCUAACACAUUAAGUACCCCGCCUGGGGAGUACGGCCGCAAGGCUGAA